CUCCCCUGCCCCUGAGGCUGAGGCCAACAUGGGGGUGGCUGCCUUUAAGGCUGGUCUGGGAUUGUCCAUGUACUUACUGAGCCAAGGAGGAAGAACCAAAAUAGAUGCUGGGAGAAAGCAGAGGUCAGAGGCUCAGAGAGGCAAGUCCUGUGUCAGGCUGGAAGGGGAUAGUAGAAUUGGGGGUGUAGCGGGGGAUGGUGUCAAUAGCCAGUGGGAAUGAGGACUAAGGGAAGAGCCCAUCUCACAGGACUCCUGGGCCUAGCAGAGGGUAGGUGAUCAAUGACUAUUUAAGUAAUUAAUAGUUCAGCAACAAAGGACAGUCUUGUGGGGGUAGGGGCAGCUCCUAAAAAGGGCUGUGGUAGGAAGGGUGGGGCAGGAAGGUCUAUGUGGCUGAGCCCCUCUGGGACCCUCAAACUCCAGUGUCAAGUCUUCUGUCCUUUUGAGCCCAAGUGACACCACUGAUUUUUUUUUUUACUCUAUCUUGAGGGAGAAGCAGGCCCCCCACAAAGGACAUAAAUCUCUACAGAUGAGGAUACCUCACUGGGCUUUUGUUUGUCAGCCAAAAAGGGAAAAACAUUUCAGCAGAGGCCUCAAAGGCAGAACAAAAUAGUGCAAGGAGCCGCACAUCCGCACAGGGCUGAGACCCUGCCCAGGACAAGCUCGGUGAGUGGAAAACUUCCUUUGUCAGCCCUUCGCGCACUUCCAGCCUCAGAUCGAGGCAUCAGGGAGGGUUUCCU
rnacentral:lncRNA from 1 species